rnacentral:misc_RNA from 1 species
AUGAAGGAUUAUUAAGGGGGAGACAAAAAAAAUCAUUGAUACUGAAGCCAAAAAAUAGGGGAGACAAAGCAAAAGUCGGAUUUCACAGUAAGAAUUGAAUGAGAGGAAUGAUGGAGAGAAGGUGGAGGGGCUUAGAACACAAAUGGGUAGAAAAACCUUUUCUGUAAAAUGCCACUUGACAAAUGGGUAGAAAAACCUUUUUGUAUUC